rnacentral:ncRNA from 1 species
UAGGGGAGCGUUCCGCCUUAGAGGGAAGCAACCGCGAAAGCGGGGGUCGACGAAGCGGAAGCGAGAAUGUCGGCUUGAGUAACGAAAACAUUGGUGAGAAUCCAAUGCCCCGAAAACCCAAGGUUUCCUCCGCAAGGUUCGUCCACGAGGGGUGAGUCAGGGCCUAAGAUCAGGCCGAAAGGCGUAGUCGAUGGACAACAGGUCAAUAUUCCUGUACUACCCCUUGUUGGUACGGAGGGACGGAGGAGGCUAGGUUAGCCGAAAGAUGGUUAUAGGUUUAAGGACACAAGGUGACCCUGCUUUUUCA